GAUCACGAGUUCGAGGCCAGCCUCGGGCUACACAUUUUUU
rnacentral:misc_RNA from 1 species